rnacentral:rRNA from 1 species
AUGGGUUUCAUCAAUAAUUAUCUGGAAGAGCUUCAGAUUGCAUCGAACAAGAAGUCAGUAACCAGCGCGCCCCAGGCGAUGAAACAGCGGCAGUGAAGAUGGAUACCUACUACAGAUGGUUCAGCUAAAAUAAAUGUGGAUGGAGGCCUGUCAACUUUGGGAGAGAAAGGGGUGGCAGCAGCUAUAUGCAGAGAUGGUGCGGGUGUUUUCUUGUGUGCUUCAGCAGUGGUAAUGGUUGGAUUGACGGACCCAACGACCUUGGAAGCCCUAGCCUGCAGCGAAGCACUCGCAUUAGCUGAAGAUCUGAACCUCCAUAACCUGACCAUCACGUCGGACUGCUAUGAAGUGAUAAAGCACACUAGUCUUAAUUUUGAUUCCGUUAGUUUUUGUUUUGAGUUUAGAGAGUCCAACUUUGAAGCUCACUCGUUAGCGAAGGGAGCCUCAACUCUGUCUGUUGGACGCCAUGUGUGGCUGGGUGUUACGCCUGAUAUUGCUUGUAUCCCAAACUUUAUGAGCUUUGAAUAA